rnacentral:rRNA from 1 species
CCUACGGGAGGCAGCAGUGAGGAAUAUUGGUCAAUGGGCGUAAGCCUGAACCAGCCAAGUCGCGUGAGGGAUGAAGGUUCUAUGGAUUGUAAACCUCUUUUAUAAGGGAAUAAAGUGCGGGACGUGUCCCGUUUUGUAUGUACCUUAUGAAUAAGGAUCGGCUAACUCCGUGCCAGCAGCCGCGGUAAUACGGAGGAUCCGAGCGUUAUCCGGAUUUAUUGGGUUUAAAGGGUGCGUAGGCGGCCUUUUAAGUCAGCGGUGAAAGUCUGUGGCUCAACCAUAGAAGUGCCGUUGAAACUGGGAGGCUUGAGUAUGUUUGAGGCAGGCGGAAUGCGAGGUGUAGCGGUGAAAUGCUUAGAUAUCACGCAGAACCCCGAGUGCGAAGGCAGCCUGCCAAGCCAUGACUGACGCUGAUGCACGAAAGCGUGGGGAUCAAACAGGAUUAGAUACCAGGGUAGUC